rnacentral:rRNA from 1 species
UGGGGAAUUUUUGGCAAUGGGCGAAAGCCUGACCAAGCAACGCCGCGUGGAUGAUGAAGUAUCUCGGUACGUAACAUCCUUUCGACGGGGACGAAACCGCAAGGUUGACGGUACCCGUAGAAGAAGCCCCGGCUAACUCCGUGCCAGCAGCCGCGGUAAUACGGGGGGGGGCAAGCGUUGUUCGGAAUUACUGGGCGUAAAGGGCGCGUAGGCGGCUCGCUAAGUCGGAUGUGAAAACUCUGGGCUCAACCCAGAGCCUGCAUUCGAAACUGACGAGCUAGAGUUCUGGAGGGGAAAGCGGAAUUCCUGGUGUAGCGGUGAAAUGCGUAGAUAUCAGGAGGAACACCGGUGGCGAAGGCGGCUUUCUGGACAGAAACUGACGCUGAGGCGCGAAAGCUAGGGGAGCAAAC